AACGAACGCUGGCGGCAGGCCUAACACAUGCAAGUCGAACGCUGUAGCAAUACAGAGUGGCAGACGGGUGAGUAACGCGUGGGAACAUGCCCUUCGGUUCGGAAUAACUCAGGGAAACUUGAGCUAAUACCGGAUACGCCCUUAGGGGGAAAGAUUUAUUGCCGAAGGAUUGGCCCGCGUCCGAUUAGCUAGUUGGUGAGGUAAUGGCUCACCAAGGCGACGAUCGGUAGCUGGUCUGAGAGGAUGAUCAGCCACACUGGGACUGAGACACGGCCCAGACUCCUACGGGAGGCAGCAGUGGGGAAUAUUGGACAAUGGGCGCAAGCCUGAUCCAGCCAUGCCGCGUGAGUGAUGAAGGGCCUAGGGUUGUAAAGCUCUUUCGCCAGGGACGAUAAUGACGGUACCUGGAUAAGAAGCCCCGGCUAACUUCGUGCCAGCCGCCGCAGUAACAC
rnacentral:rRNA from 1 species